ACUCCUACGGGAGGCAGCAGUGAGGAAUUUUGCGCAAUGGGGGGAACCCUGACGCAGCAACGCCGCGUGAGUGAAGAAGGCUUUCGGGUCGUAAAGCUCUGUCAAGAGGGAAGAAAGUGGUAUGUAGUAAUACUAUAUAUUAUUGACGGUACCUCUGAAGGAAGCACCGGCUAACUCCGUGCCAGCAGCCGCGGUAAU
rnacentral:rRNA from 1 species